rnacentral:rRNA from 1 species
AUGGCGACCGGCGCACGGGUGAGUAACACGUAUCCAACCUGCCGAUGACUCGGGGAUAGCCUUUCGAAAGAAAGAUUAAUACCCGAUGGCAUAGUUCUUCCGCAUGGUAGAACUAUUAAAGAAUUUCGGUCAUCGAUGGGGAUGCGUUCCAUUAGCUUGUUGGCGGGGUAACGGCCCACCAAGGCAUCGAUGGAUAGGGGUUCUGAGAGGAAGGUCCCCCACAUUGGAACUGAGACACGGUCUAAACUCCUACGGAAGGCAGCAG